rnacentral:rRNA from 1 species
CCUACGGGGGGCUGCAGUGGGGAAUAUUGCACAAUGGGCGCAAGCCUGAUGCAGCCAUGCCGCGUGUGUGAAGAAGGCCUUCGGGUUGUAAAGCACUUUCAGCGGGGAGGAAGGCGGUGAGGUUAAUAACCUCAUCGAUUGACGUUACCCGCAGAAGAAGCACCGGCCAACUCCGUGGCAGCAGCCGCGGUAAUACGGAGGGUGCAAGCGUUAAUCGGAAUUACUGGGCGUAAAGCGCACGCAGGCGGUCUGUCAAGUCGGAUGUGAAAUCCCCGGGCUCAACCUGGGAACUGCAUUCGAAACUGGCAGGCUAGAGUCUUGUAGAGGGGGGUAGAAUUCCAGGUGUAGCGGUGAAAUGCGUAGAGAUCUGGAGGAAUACCGGUGGCGAAGGCGGCCCCCUGGACAAAGACUGACGCUCAGGUGCGAAAGCGUGGGGAGCAAACAGGAUUAGAUACCCGGGUAGUC